AAGAAAGCAAUUAAUAGUUUGCGACCUCUAAUUUACUGCGUUUAAUAACAGGUUUCCGUUUCCAAUUUAGAGGUCAACUUACUUAAUUUUGAAAACUACGUGACGUAAAUAUUUGUGAAGUUCAAAAAAGUUUUUUUUUUCUUCUUUUACAUCAAAUGGAUAACUAAUAAUUCAAGGUCAAACCGAAAGUAUGGGGAAGCGAGUAUACAAGAAUGGAAAUUAGUUUAGAACUAGUCUCAGGUGAGGAACAUGAGGUCAAUGCCUCAUUAUCUAACAAACCCUCUAAGGGUUCAUAUAUAAAAGGAACUUUUGGUUUGGGUACAAGUUCAAUGAAAUUCGCCUUGAUAUAAGUUGACACUCAAAAAAUGAAGUUCUUAGAAAUACUUGUAGUAGCACUAAGCUUUUUGCUCCUGGUGAGUGCACAAGAAGUAGAAGUGAAUGGUGCACCAUCCAGACCACCUCUCAUUAGUAGGUGCUGCCUGUAUGGUUGGUACGACUGCUGUGGUUAUCUAUUUGGAUACAGAUAUGGGGUACUUCCUCCUCAAUACCCCCAAUAUCCUCCAGUUCCAAUGGGGAACCCAUUAAUAACUAAUUACAUCUCAUAAAAAAGAGCAACUGAGUGAAACGUCUUAAAUUUAUGUGCUUUUCGUUGUAGUCAAGUGCCAGAGCUUUUAUUGUAAUGCACUCAUUACUAGUGUAAACAUAUCCAUUAUUUAUUGCAUUGUUCCUCAUAUGCUUGUGAUGUAAAAUUCAAACGCAUCAAAUGUAAGUUGUUCAAAAUAAAAAGUAGCUUUUGUUUA